rnacentral:rRNA from 1 species
AUGGUAGGAUAGAGGCCUACCAUGGUGGUAACGGGUAACGGGGUGUUAGGGCACGACACCGGAGAGGGAGCCUGAGAAACGGCUACCACAUCCAAGGAAGGCAGCAGGCGCGCAAAUUACCCAAUCCCGACACGGGAAGGUAGUGACAAUAAAUAACAAUACAGGGUUCUUUGAAUCUUGUAAUUGGAAUGAGUACAAUUUAAAUCUCUUAACGAGGAACAAUUGGAGGGCAAGCCUGGUGCCAGCAGCCGCGGUAAUUCCAGCUCCAAUAGCGUAUAUCAAAGUUGUUGCAGUUAAAAAGCUCGUAGUUGAAUUUCGGGAUCAAUACGUCGGUCGUGCUUUCGGGUACGUACUGGCGUCAUUGGUUUCUCCUUUCUGACGAACCAUGAUGUCAUUAAUUUGGUGUUAUGGGGAGUUAGGACUGUUACUUUGAAAAAAUUAGAGUGUUUAAAGCAGGCAUUAGCUUGAAUACAUUAGCAUGGAAUAAUGAAAUAGGACGUUCGAUCCUAUUUUGUUGGUUUCUAGGAUCAACGUAAUGAUUAAUAGGGAUAGUUGGGGGCAUUAGUAUUCAAUUGUCAGAGGUGAAAUUCUUGGAUUUAUUGAAGACUAACUACUGCGAAAGCAUUUGCCAAGGAUGUUUUCAUUAAUCAAGAACGAAAGUUAGGGGAUCGAAGACGAUCAGAUACCGUCGUAGUCUUAACCAUAAACUAUGCCGACUAGGGAUCGGAUGAUGUUAAUUUUUUAAUGACUCAUUCGGCGCCUUACGGGAAACCAAAGUGUUUGGG